rnacentral:rRNA from 1 species
CCCUUAGAUGUUCUGGGCCGCACGCGCGCUACACUGUUUGAUUCAGCGAGUCUUAACCUUGACCGAAAGGUUUGGGUAAUCUUCUAAAGUCAAACGUGAUGGGGAUCGAUCAUUGCAAUUAUUUAUCGUGAACGAGGAAUUCCUAGUAAAUGCAAGUCAUCAGCUUGCGUUGAUUACGUCCCUGCCCUUUGUACACACCGCCCGUCGCUACUACCGAUUGAAUGGUUUAGUGAGAUCUCCGGAUUGGCUCUGUAGGUCCCGCAAGGGAUUUAUUAGUAGCCAAGAAGCUGCUCAAACUUGAUCAUUUAGAGGAAGUAAAAGUCGUAACA